rnacentral:snRNA from 1 species
AUCCUAGUGCACGGGCGUCUUCCUUCUCCGUGAAGCGAUAAGCUGAGAGAGGAAUUUUGCUAGUUGAAAACUAUUCACAGACUACUCCGAGCUGGCUUGUCCGGCGAGGGAAUUUUUGUACACUUUCCACUCUUUCAUUGCGGUUUGAUCCUCGAGGUCGUCGUGAAGAAG